rnacentral:rRNA from 1 species
UACGUAGGGAGCAAGCGUUGUCCGGAAUCAUUGGGCGUAAAGCGCGCGUAGGUGGCCUCAUAAGUCCGCUGUGAAAGUCAAAGGCUCAACCUUUGAAAGCCGGUGGAUACUGUGAGGCUAGAGUACGGAAGAGGCGAGUGGAAUUCCUGGUGUAGCGGUGGAAUGCGCAGAUAUCAGGAGGAACACCAAUAGCGAAGGCAGCUCGCUGGGACGUUACUGACACUGAGACGCGAAAGCGUGGGGAGCAAACAGG